UAAAAGGCUAGGAACAGGACUAGUAUAGUCUGAGGCGGAGUUCAGAGAGUCGGGUAAGGUGGGAGCCGAUACUUGCGCAAGGCUAGAAUGGACCUGGGAGCCGCAAACCGAAAAGCUAUGAAGCUGAGUAGGCUUUGCCGGUAAAGCACCGUUAAAAGCUCAGGGUAUCGCUCUUAAGUUGAGCCGUACCUGAAAAGAGAUAGUCGCAAGACUGAAAUAGGGUGGCACCGCGAAAGUUAAGCCUCUCGCCCCUUGG
rnacentral:ncRNA from 1 species